rnacentral:tRNA from 2 species
AAACUUAGGAUAAUAUAAAACCAAAG